UAAUUUUCAAACGCCACGCGCCGACUUCGUACCGUUAAAACCCCAUAUUUCUAACCCAAACCCUAUCAUCUUUCCCAUUUCCACCUUUUCUUUUCUCUUUUCUCUUCGAUCUUGCCAACUUCAACCCAGCUUCUUGUAAAACCUCUGCUAACUUCAACCUUCUUUCUCCUCGUGAAUUCACAUCUUGCUAAUCUUAACCUCAUCUAUUGAAGAUUCUUGCUAACUUCCACCCCAUUUCUUGGAAGAGGAAAGAGGACAAUCUCUCUCUCUACUUCCGUCUUCGAAUCUUGCCAAUUUCAACCCAUUUUCUUGAAAAUUCUGUCUGAUUUCAAUCCAAUUUCUUGAAAAAUCUUGUUAAUUUCAACCCCCAUUUUUGUUUUUGUUAAUUUAAAUCCGACAUAAACCUAUUCUCUUCAUGAAUUCGCCUCCUGACUUUCAUUCUCUUGAAAAUCCUUGCUAACUUCAUCAUCCCCACCAUGAUGGUGCCUCUUCCUCUAAGAAUCCUCCUCCUCUUCUCUCUCUUCACUGUGUUUAAUCUCUCCUUCCCUCUGCCUGCAUCUGCCAAAAACCAAAGCUUCGAUUUCCCGCUUUUCAACCUCCGGAACUUCACUCUCCUCGGCGACUCCUAUCUCCGGAAUGGCGCCGUCGGCCUCACUCGGGAACUCAGUGUCCCCACCUCUAGCGCUGGCACCAUCAUCUACAACACCCCCAUCACCUUCUUCGAUCCUGAAACCAAUAUCUCCGCCUCCUUCUCGACGAAGUUCUCCUUCACAAUCUCAAAUGUCAACCCUGAAUCCUACGGCGAUGGGCUCACGUUCUUCCUCUCGACCGACAAUGUCACCCUCGGAAGCCCCGGCAGCUAUUUGGGUCUCUUCAACUCCUCGAACCCAACCAAGAACAAGAUCAUCGCCAUUGAAUUUGACACCCGUUUGGACAGCCAAUUCAAUGAUCCGAAUUCGAACCACAUUGGGUUGGAUGUUGGCAGCCAGGGCCUCAUAUCUAUCAAGACUGCCGAUGCUAACUUGUCAGGGAUUGACCUCAAGAGUGGGAAUCUGAUCACAGCAUGGAUUGAUUACAAGAAUGAUCAGAAGAGGCUGAUGGUCUGGUUGAGCUACUCGAGCUUCAAGCCUGAGAAGCCACUCCUGUCUGUGAAAUUCAACCUCUCGAAGGAUUUCAACGAUAUCAUGUAUGCUGGUUUUUCAGGGUCCACAGAAGGGAGCACUGAGCUCCACCUGAUCGAGGAGUGGAGCUUUAGGACAUUCGGAUUCAGGCCCUCAAACUCUCAGUCUCAGCCUCGCAAUGUAUCAGACAGCUCAGGGAGGAUAAUCCCGGUAACCCCCGUAGUCCCUGCUUCAAAUUCUACCCACAAGUUCCACAGGACGCUCGCGUUAGGCCUCGGAAUCACAGGCGGGUUGAUUGUAUUCUGCGCAAUCUUGAUCGUCUUCGGCUGGGUUUCAGCUAAGAAAUGGAAGCCAAUCAGGACGGGCAAGAGCUUCAGGUCGGAGAUCAUGAAGGGCCCACGACCGUUCACCUAUAGAAUAUUGAGAGACUCCACAAAAGGAUUCCAUUCGAGCCGGAUCUUGGGCCAUGGCGCAUUUGGGACUGUUUACAAGGCCGUGCUUCUGGAAUCUGGCCUCACUUUUGCUGUGAAGAGAUCGAAACAUACCCACAACAGUAAAACCGAAUUCCUCGCUGAACUGUCAACAAUAGCUUGUUUGAGACACAAGAAUCUAGUUCAGCUCGAAGGCUGGUGCUCUGAGAAGGGCGAAUUGUUGCUUGUCUAUGAAUACAUGCCGAAUGGGAGCCUUGACAAGGUCCUAUAUGAAGAAUCCGAGGCGGGGACCACGCUGAAAUGGGCCCACAGGUACAAGAUCGUGGUUGGGAUCGCCUCUGUUCUAAUGUAUCUACAUGAAGAAUGCGAGCAGCAAGUCAUUCACAGAGACAUAAAGACCAGCAAUAUAAUGCUCGAUGCAAAUUUGAAUGCAAGGUUGGGCGAUUUUGGGCUGGCCCGGCUGACAGACCACAACAAGAGCCCUGUCUCAACUCUUACCGCUGGGACAAUGGGCUACCUCGCACCUGAGUAUCUCCAGUAUGGGAAAGCAACUGAAAAGACAGAUGUUUUUAGCUUUGGGGUCGUCAUGCUUGAAGUUGCUUGUGGAAGGCGGCCCAUUGAGAAAGAUGCCCGCAGUCAGAAGAUCAAUUUGGUUGAUUGGGUGUGGGGUUUGUAUGCGGAAGACAGGAUCAUCGAAGCUGCGGACUCGAGAUUGAAAGGCGAGUUUGAAAAUGAAGAGAUGAGGCGGUUGUUGCUCGUGGGUCUGAGCUGUGUGAAUCCGGAUUGCACAAAGCGACCCACCAUGAGAAGAGUCUUACAGAUCCUUAAUAAAGAGGCGGAGCUUCAGGUUGUGCCGAAGAGGAAGCCAAGCCUGACAUUUUCUUGCAGCUUGCCUUUGAGCAUAGAGGAUAUUGUUUCGGAUUGUGAAGAAAGCAUGAAAGCCAGCCCCCUGUAUGAGCUGAAAGUCCUUUGAGGUUUGACAAUUGAACAGCUCAUCUGGUGUGCCAUGGGGCCCAUCACAUAGUUCUCUCCGUCUAAUCAGGCCGGUCCACUCAUCAUCAUGUGGACUAAAGGGGCGACUGGCACCCAUAUUCAAGGUGCAUGCGCAGACCGCCUGAAGAAGUGGACUGGCCUGAUUGUUGGGCAAGGGCAUUGACAUGGUUGGCUCACCUAAUGAAUAGCUCGUAUGUCACACAAAUACACACAUUCGCAGUUCACCCACUUGUGGGCGUGUAUGUGUGAUUAGCUAGCCUCUUAUCAGUAUGCUGAUAUGGAUGUUCUUUUCCCUCAAAAUGAUGAAAAUCCAUUAGCCAUUGAUGGUCAAGUACUAAAACUUCUUUGCUAUUCAACUGAGAUGCUACAGCAGAAGCUUGUUCAUCGUUUGUGACGUCCAGCAUAUCAAAGAGAUCCAGCCGAAUGCUGUCAUCGGGAGUGAAAAGACAGCCGUUGCACCCCUCAUAUUGAAUUCCCAUGUAUAUGCACCCGUGUGAAGAAUUCAUCAUCUCAGCUCUAGACUGUAUAUCUACUUUAUCUAUGCUCAUUUCUGAAUUCAUACUGUGAGGAUUUUGGAUGACAUUUAUCGUAUAUGAGUGUCUAUGUGUUUAGCAGUUGUAAUGGGAAUAAGCUCUGAUAAUGGCAUACGUCGUGUUUUGUUUUUAAUCGUUUUGUUAUUGGAUUCAUUGUAGUUGUAUAUCAGAUUGAAUUGUAUUCUUCCUGUCAGUUCAUGUUUGGCACUAUUUAUACAGAUGAAUUAUAUGCUCAAA